AGGUGGCCAUACCAUGCUGAAAACACCGGUUCUCGUCCGAUCACCGAAGUUAAGCAUCAUCGGGGGGCAGUCAGUACGUGGGAGGGUGACCACCUGGGAACACCGCGUGCCGUU